rnacentral:lncRNA from 1 species
UUUGUUAUUUGAUUGCUGGUCUGAAUUUGUCUGAGUAGUUUUUAAUCGAGAGCUGGCUUUUUAAAUAUUUUAUUAAUAAAAAUGUCAGGAACAAGUAAUGGCAUCACUAAAAUGUGAAUUCUAUCCCCCAAAAAUCCCAAUCCCAAAACAAACCCACUAGAUUCUCUCCUGGAAAGAACAAUGGAAACGGCCCAUCAAAAUCAGGUCCUAGUUAUGCAGUUAAGAAAAGGGUUUCAACAUAUUCAUGGAGUGACGAAACAAUUGAAUUACUCAUCCAGGGUGUUUCAAAGUACCCAGUGCUAUUUGACAUUACUCGUGCUGAUUACAAAGAUGUUACUGUGCAUGCCAAGGCAAAUGAUGCUGUUGCCAAAGGAUUGCCUAAUAAUUAUAGUGAGUAGCUCUGCUUGUGGAGAGCAAUGCUACAACGUUGGCAUUUGUAAACGCUGCUGGGAAUAAAAGCCUUUCCAUGUACAUUCAUUUCCCCAAGAGUUAAGGUGAACCUCACCAAAGUGAUAAAUUUGCCUGUGAUUUUUUAAUGUCCUUCAGGUUGAACUACGUCUGGUUACGAGUUUUUCUUUUCUUAAUUUCGUUAUAUUGCAGCAUCUAUUGAAACAAGUUAACUGUCUUCCUGUCAAUCCAAAUCUUCUUAUUCUCGAGAACCAAAUCAGCCACAUUAGCUAUCCCCUACUUGAAUUUUGCAAGAAAAGUGGUCCCUGGUAGCACGCCUCUAUCUAUAGGAUAUACGUCGCCCAUCUUUUCAGCCGAGUGAGAUAUCUUAACCCGACGUCCAUAGGAUUGCCUAUGUCUAUACUAAUGUCGCGCUGACAUCCAAAUGGGUACGGCUUACAGCCGUCUUCAAAAUACUUAAAUUUAAGCAAAAAGAAAAAAAAAAGAAACGUUCCUCGAUGGGCCCGAAACCACCGUCUUUGGAUUAGUACUCCAGUGCUCUACCCACAUCACCACAACCUAUUACUUUUCAACUGUAUUUGGUUCAACGUCUCUAAAUUAAUAUUAGCAGUUAAAAUUCUGAAAAUUUAAAGUCCUUGUCGUCCUCAUCUAUCCUGUGUACAGAUAAUUUGGACAUCUCACAGACGUCAUAUUACGUCUGUCUGUUAAGCGUCUGAUUCCUAGUACACAUGGAUGUCCGUGAUCGUAUGAGAAACGUACAUCUAUAGUACAUCUAUGCGAAGAUAGCAUAAGGCCGUAGUAAAUAGAGUAUCCAUGUGAUAUCCAAUUUAAGUUGUAGCUAGAUAAGAUUUGAUUUAGACAUUAAGACAUCUAUAUGAUAGACGAUGGAAGUGAGUGUGCUACCAGGGGUAUAGUUGAAAAUUCUUCACGUUGCCACCUCACACAUCUCAUGUGACUUAGACCCUCGCCAAUUUUUAUUUCGUUUUAUUGAAUCAGAUGUGAAGCAAGAACAUUGUCAGUGGAUGCGAAUUAAUUGAGUUCAGAGAAUUUCCAUAUACGACGUGGCUUAGUUAACAGAAGGACGAGAGGAGAUUCCGUUCCAGAAAUAUCAAAUCAGUAUUUUCUACCCGCGGGAUUUAUCCAUAUAACCGACAUGCAAUCCCAGAGCACAUGUUUGCACCUUCUUCUGUUACUACCUUGCCUGCUGGGAAUGAAACAGAAAGAACAAAUGCACCGUCUCAGCGCUUGUGCCAAAAAUCGAUUCUGAACAAUAUGUUUUAGCCGAUAUAGUAAAUCAUCGUCUCAAUCAGCAAGCUGUAGCGGACAUCAAUAAGUCAAGAACAUGGUAUGUUACAUUAUCUUGACAGUUAAUAGUCGGAAGUUGCAAUUAACUCCAAUGUUGGCUUCCUCCCCUCUACUAAGAUCUGCUUUUUCGUCCAUACUACUUACUCAAAUGCCUUUAAACGAACUGCCUCGUCAAAGCUUCACACCGGAAGAAGUUUUACCUCAUCAACAUCAAGAAGGGUACCAAGGAACAAGAACAGAGGUUCUUCUCGUUGAUUGACAAAUUUGACCGAAAUUGCUAUGUUUAAAGAGGCGCACAGCGCAAAAAUGUUUAAAGAAAACAAUCGGAUUGUGAAGGAAUUGAAGACUAAUUGAGAGGUGUACUAAAAUAAACUUAAAUUACCAACACCCAGUAAAACAGGGUGUUGGUAAUCUGCAAGACAAGUCUGCAUGACGGUAAUCUGCAUGAAUUUACUGCAUGAACAGGGCUGUCAUGCGCACCUACGGGCAAGAUAAACUGCAUGACUACUUCCGCAUGACACCAAAUAAAAAUUUUGCAAAUUAUAACGCGCGCACACUGCCAUGGCAACGCCCAAACGGAGAAAAAAAAGAACGAAAAUCUUAUUCAUGCAAGAAAUUCAACCAAAGAAAAAUUGAAGAAUAGUACCGGAUGCCCCAUACAUUUUUACAGAGAGGAAUUGGCUGAUUUAAAAGAACAAGCUGUACAGCUAUCUCGCGAUGUAGAACAAGUUAGAAAUUUCAAAAAAACAAACAAAAGCGUAAAAUUGCACUCAUUCAGGAUAAAAACUACAAUCUCCAGGAAAUCGAUGAUGACACCAAGUUCAUUAAGGAGAUUAUAACAUACCCUGAUGUUGCAAUUUACAUUUUCCAUCCUUAGCUUUGGGAACUGUUCAAGGGAUUGCUGAACCGAAAAGAUUUACCUUUCCUUAGUUUGUCGGUGGAUACCACUUUUGAAAUGACUGAUGGGUAUGAAAUGCGUACUGUCUAAAAUUUAUGUGUCUAAAUGGGGGGGGGGGGGUAAUCUGCAUGAAUGCUUUUCGAUUUUUCAAUUUUUGAGUUAGCGUAUGUAUGGCGUAAUGAAUGAAUGUGUAAAUCUAUUCCAUAAUUAUUUUUAAUUUUAAUUUUGUUUUUUUUUUAUUAGCAGGCUUUGACUGCAAUUACUACAGUGACGGCAUUUCUACGUUCUCAAUCAGAAUCAAUGUCCCACCGUCCAAGUCGGCUUUAUUGGAUUCAGCUAAGGGCAGGGUGCGAAAAAGAAAAGAAAUCCAAAGGAAAUUAUGAAAAUGUUGAUCCUGUCAAGAACUACUCCCUGACGCUAAGAGCUGUUUCAAUUCACGAAGAAAAAGUUUUAGAAAAAUGCACAAUUGAGCUUAGCACAGCACAGCACUAGAUGUUUGGGAAGUAUUUUUGGUUUUUCUUCAACAUGAAUGCAUCCUAUUACAUAUGAUGAGUUUUCUUUUAUAAUUAUUGAAAAAUGUAGUAUUCUACACUGAUUCAACACCAAAAAUACCAUUGUAUGUUAUAGGAAAGGUCUCCACCACGAUUUGGAAAUAUUUCAGGCUAGAUGUUUGGGAAGUAUUUUUUUUUUAAAUAUAUUUAUAGUUUCACUUAUUCAAAGAGUUUUAUUCUUACAGGAUAUGUAAAUUUAUUUCCAAUACACCAUUUAAAGUUAA